rnacentral:rRNA from 1 species
GUCCAUACUGUGACCUAUGAGUGUUAAAUGUCAAUUAAAUACGUAUGAUUUUAUACGUAAGAUUGGUGUUUAAGUUAACGCGAUAAACACUCCGCCUGGGGACUAUGGCCGCAAGGUUGAAACUCAAAGGAAUUGACUGAGAUUUGAACAUUCAGUGGUGCAUGUGGUUUAAUACGACAUAAAUCGAUAAAUCUUACCAAUUUUUGUAUGUAGACUGUGCUAUUUAAUGGUUUGUAUUAAUAGUAUUUUAAAUUAUUAUAAUUGAAUUUAUAUAUUUAUU